rnacentral:lncRNA from 1 species
GACGGACCAGACAAUUUUGGGAAAUUAUUUUCAAACUGGAAAUGGGAGAAAACUUUCCUAAGUCACUCAGCUGGCGAGUGGUAAAGCCACCCUGGGAUCAUAGGUUUGUCUGACCCAGAGUCCAGGCUCUCAAGCACUAUAUUUGCUCUUUCAUGCUUCCACUGUGGGUAGAGUCCCAGGCCAUACUCUGGGCCGCUGCCCACUACAGUCAGAUCCUGCCUACCCAGUCUGUAAAAUGGAGCAUCUCUGCCCUUUCUUACUUCCCACUAUAGGGAGCAGUCCCCCUGACCAUGGGUACACACCCAGGAUAUGUGGCUUCUAGGGAAAUCUCCCUAAAGGGGAGCACCCAGGAGAGGCUGGAAAAUCAAAGCAUACCUGGCUGCCCACAGCCUUUGAUUUUGGUAGAAGGACCAUUCCAAUGGUUCAUCUCUCUCAGCAACAAUCAUUCUUAUUCCCCCUGGAUAAGGGGUCAGAGUUAGGGUCACCUUCUGGCUAUUCCAGUUAGAACUCCCUUCAUGCAAAAAGGCUGAACUCCUCUGCCCAAAUUUCUCCCAUAGAAGUAGGUAGAUGCUAUAAGUGAAUUCCAUAAAGAAGAUCCUUGAAGAGAAUAUAAUAGCAAAUAUAAUGAACACUGUUUUAUUUCCCCUAUGAAGAAGUAGUAACAAAAUAAUUUUAAGAUGAGGCCGGUCUUGAACUCCUGGGCUCAAGACAUCCUCCAGCUUCGGGCUCCCAGAGUGCUGGGAUUACAGGUAUGAGCCACUGUGCCCAGCCUGAUUUGUUAUCAUGUUAAAUUAUAAAGUAUAUAAUAGAGUCAGGCCAGUUAGAAUCCAUCCCUGACUUUCUGGAGCUGUCAGGAAAGACAUGCACUGUGAAGAGAGACAAACACCUGAGAUGCGUGAACACUUGGAUCCUGCUCUGCCAAAGCUAGUAAUGCCUUGAAUGUCCAGAUAUGUGGGCCUUAAUUUUUGUUUUUGCUUAAACUAAUGUGAAGUUGUGUUACUGUCCCUCUCAAAUAAAAUUACCUCAUUAAUACACCUAACUCAAAUAGUGGUAGCAAUAAGUAACUAAUUUUUAAUAGUAACAGAAAAAUGUGCUAAUUAGGUAGAAAUUGUAAAACAAAGAAAUGUAUGCUUAUCAGGGUUGGGCAUGGGGCCCAUGCCUGGAAUCCCAGCACUUUGGGAGGCUGAGGCAGGAGGAUCACUUCAGCCCUGGAGUUCAAGACUAGCCUGGGCCCCAUCUCUACAAAAGAAGACAAAACUUAGCUGGGCAUGGUGGUAUGCACCUGUGGUCCCAACUACUUGGAAGGCUGAGGUGGGAGGAUCGCCUGAGCUCAGGAAGUUGAGGCUGCGAUGAGAUACCAUCGUGCCACUGCAUUCCAGCCUGGGCAACAGAGUAAGAUCUGAACUCAAAAAAAAAUAAUAAUAAUAAUGCACAUCAAAAAGCACGAGAAGCAGAAUAUAUUUUUAUUAGAUCAUUUCAAAAUUCAGGUAGGAUUAUAGAAUUUUAGUCCUGUAGAGAUUAUUUCUUUCAACCUUCUAAUUUUAAAUUUAUAGUUAAGAGAACUGAGUUCCAGGAGGAAGCAUCUAAAAUAUUUAAUAAAGAUUAUUGGUAAAUGCUUCCAUGGGAUCAUAAUAAUGGAAAUGAGCAAUGACCUGCUGAAGGAUCUUAAAAGAUUUAAAUUUCUCAAGGCCCAAUAGUGAAAUCAUGAGCUUCAAGUCAGUGACAAGUUAAAAAAAAAAGAAAGCAUCCGAAUCAAUGCCAUUUUUCAUCCAAUUUAAUCCAAUCAAAAGAACCACAGGAAUGAAAUAGAAUGAAUCUAAUUUAGAAAUAGUUUAUUCCUUUUCCUUAAAAGUGAUGUCACCCUUCUUUCAACCAAGAAAUGUAGAAAAAAUCUACGAACAGACAUGCACCGAAAAAUAUGAGCCAGUUUAUUUAAUAUUAAAAUAUUUAUUUAAACUGAAAGACAGGAGCAGCCUCUUCAGGAAAACCCCUCUGGGGUCCUAUAAAAGUUCCAUGCAUUCUAAAGAUUGGGGACCAACGUAGCCUGUUCUUUGGGCUUGUUGUUCGGUGGAAAGAAUAUUUUCUUUGAUACUUUAAGUUUGAAGAACUGGUGUAUAUUUUAAUGCCACAUAUGUAAACAUACUUUUCAAAUUUCCUUAGAAGUUUAGGCAGGAGUAUAACUUUUUUGGGAGAGUGAGAUAAAAGAAGAUUCUUUUUAAAAGAGAAAAUGCAGUCAACAAUCAAGAAUAGAUGUUCUUCCGAUAAAAUAUUCACUGGAACCUGGGAAAUUUGAUUGUAAAUUUCCCUGUUGUCCUAAUAACUGAUACCUGUUUUAGCUGUGGUGGAAGGAGUGGCGAUAGAUCCUUCCACAAUGAAAAUAAAGCAGGAUUUGCCUAUUUUGUAAACAGAACAUUUACAUAUUUAAUUUUCUUCAGCUGAGAUUUACUUGUAUGUGUUUCUCUGUAAACUUGGGAAUAUUGAUUUAUUUUGUGAACACUGCUGGUUACAGACCAGUCCAUCUCAACUUCACACUAGUCUAUACCUAAAUUACUCCCAAUUGUUUUAGAGUUAAAUUUAUGUGACUGAAAGUCAUGUGGUACAAACAAACAAGAGUAAAGGAUUGUUACUGGAUUGAUGAGAUAAUUUGCUUUUUAAAAAAGUUGAAUUAUAAACUGUGGGCACUAGAAAUUUUAUUAUUUAGGUGGCUUUAAUUGCAUGAAAUUCUGAACACCUGUUUUCGAGGGACAGAUAUUUAUUUAAAAUUUUAACAUGCAUUUUCCACUCUGUCUUUGUAUUUCCAUGAUUGUCUUUAUCCAGUAAUAUGUUUUGCAAACUCUUUCCUUAGUGCAGGGAUUGCAAAAACUGUCAUGAAUUAAAUAUGUCAUCUAUGAAGUAUACCUAAUCUAUAAGCCAACAUCAUGUAAUGCAGCUUAAUCUUGAUUUUCUUUGACAGUUGUAACAAAAAUUGUUUUUUAUUUUAAAAAAUAUUAAUUUAGUUGUUUAUUCUUCAAAGGAAUAACAAACACCUGACUGAAAUGAACCUUUGGUUAAAAUUAUGGAUUAGCAUCAUCUUACCUUUAAUUUCUAAGCAACUAUCAGUAUUUUCAUGUUACCAAAGUCUAUCAAGUCAUUAGGAAAAAUGACCAAACCCAUUGUUUGUUAUCAUGGAGACCAAACAGCUGGCUGACUUAGAUAAAGAUUUCACUCUUCUGUAAACUGAUCGUGUGACAAGCUGGAGUCACAACAGAGGAUUUGGAGAUGCUGAAUUUGUCUUUAAACACUACACUUGGAAAAAAAUAAAAACUAGAUCAUCUACAUUUUGAAAUACGCUUUUUAUUUAUUUCAGUCUUUCAUUCAUUUAUAAUCAUGAAUCUGAAUAGUGGAAUUAUGGGUUGGGGUUUUUUUUUGGGCAGCUUUGAAAGGUUUUAAAAGAGAAAAGGAAACUAUCAGCCCUAUCUCUGAAAAACAAGGAAACACAAUGGAAAUAUUUUACAUCAUAUGGAGAUAAUACAUAAAUAGUAAAAGGACUGUGCUAUUAUAAGUCUAAAACACAGGGCACACUUCCUACUCUUUAUCUUAAGAUACAGACCCUUUGAUGGAGAGUAUUUGUAAUGAAAAUAAAGCUGAGCUAAUUGUUAGCUUUAAUUACUAAAGGUAACAGGAUACAGCAAACAGGGUCUCCUGAAAAAAAUGUUUGUGAGUACUGCUAACAGUGCUGCCAUCUUGUACAUAUAUUUAUGUAUGCUUGUGUAUUUCAGAAGAGAUUGUUGUGCAUUCAACAAAUAUUCACAUUUUAAAAGUAAACAGAUCUGAAAAUGACAUUCAAAUAACAGCAAAUACUUAAAUUGUGCCUAAUAUAUGAAAGGCACUGUUCUAAAAAUUUUUCAUUUAUGAACUAAUGUAAUCUUUACAGCAACUCUACAGGGUACAUAUUAUUCUUUUCCAUAUUUUACAGAUGAGGAAACUAAGACACAGAGAGGUUAGUUCAAUUGCCCUAGUAAGUGACAAAGCCAGGAUUUGGACCCAAACAGUUUGGUUCUAGAAUCCUGGAUCUUGCUGUAUCUCUAGUAUUGAAAAUGACCCAUGGACCACAAUAUGUAUUUCUCAGUUCCAUCAUAAUUUUAUUUUUAGUUGUCUUUAUUAUUUGGUCAAAUUAAUGGCAAGUGAAUAUGAAUUAGGUAUUUUUUACUGUAAAAAGAGAGCACUAGUGAAAUUCAUUUGAUCAAGCUUCAUAGCAAACCUUGGCUAUUCUUACUCAAUUAAUUUUCUUAGUUUGACUUCACAAAUUCAUUUCUUAGCCUUCUUUUUUUCUUUCUGAGACUCAAAAGAACAAUAUCCCUUUUUUAUUCCUACUAAAGCUAGAAUUGUAAUGGAUGAAUCAAGGUAAUUUUUCCCAUUUCUUUGACUUGUCUUGAUUUUGGCCACAUUUUCUGCUUUUUCCUCCCUUCCUUCUUUGAUGAAGGACAGUGAUGCUUUUGUUCUAUCGUCUAAGAAAGUAGCAUAGAAGCAAACAAAAAAGAAAAUGAGAACUUACUACUCCCACCCACUCCUGGGUUUUUAUGCGUCAUCUUGUUUGUCCUAUGCAGUAGUGCAUGACUCAACAAAUAUGGACAAGGUCUGAAAAUUCUGUUGGCACUUCAUAAAUAAUAAAUGGUAAUAACAGAGCAACCUGGCAAAAGCAGUUAUAUAAGCAAGAUGUAAACCUAGAUUAUAUACAAUUCAUGGUAUAAUGGGAAUUACUUUUCAGCUUUCUAGAGGUUGGCAAUAGAAAAUCAAGUUGAUACUUUAUAAUCUUUCAAGGCUCUUGUUCUAUUUUUCUUCUUUCAUAUUCUUUAGGUAUUGAUUGGCAUCUGGCAAUGCCUUUGGAAAUACAAUGAAUUCAAAAUAACUAAACAGGAGUUUGUGCAAAAAAUAAUUGUUAGUGGCCUGACUACAGUCUAUCAAUGUAGGCUUGUUCUAUUUACUACCACCUGGGAAGACAUGGAAUUUCUGUGUGUAUAUACAAAUAUAGUGAUAUUUAAUUCAUAGAUUUAUCAUAACCAUCAUCAUCAUCACUACAUUUAUCAUUAUCAAAGUGAUAAUGGUAAUAUCACAAAUUACCAUAGUCAUAAUUUUCAUGAUUAUGUGAGGUUUUUGCAUAUCCACCAUUUGUUAUAAUUCAUUUUCUAGUGAUUAAAAAAAUCAUUGCUAGGUGUGUAAUUAAAUGUCAGUGAAUCUAUAUAAUUAAUCUGUAUUUUGUAAUAAACACUACAAUCUCAACCUCACAUAAAUCCAUGAAUUAAGAACUGUAUCUUUGGCAAAUAUAUAUGAGAAAAGGUGCACAAAUAUUUUCUAUAAUGUAAAUAUGAAGUUUAUUUAAGCAAUACCAGUCAGAAGGGCAGAAAAAUAAAAAUGAUGCAGGCAGAAGGAUUGAUAGCAUUCACAGGGACAGAGGCAGGAGUAUUUAUAAUGUUCACCGUCACAGAAGAAAAUACAGAGUAAGAUGGACCAUGAAAAUGAAAACAUCAGAAUAGAGUGAGGAGAAAUUCAAUAAAGACAAGAAGAUUUAGAGACUUGAAAGGGAGGCUUGGAACUAUUUAUCGCUUUGCUAUAGAAAGCAGUGGAACCAAAUAAAGAAUAAAAUAAAAAAUAAGGAGGUUGGAGAAGGAGAUAUUCUAGGGAAUUUAGAUAAGGAAUUUGAGUCUGUUGGGAAUGGGAGUGUUUGGAAAUAUACAUACAUCUCCUCUCCGUUCAAUUUCACGCUUGCGGGAGCACAGAUGGGAAACUAAAAAGAAAAAGAAAGGCAAGACCUUUAGUGGGGUUUCUCAGGGUGUUACCUCAUGAGUAUUGUUCUCGAAGGAAGAUUGCUUUCUAUGCUCUUUAGCUUUUAUUUUACUUUACUCCAUAAUGGAAUUUAGAUAAAUUCCCUGUGUAACAUCUUCAUAGACACAAGUUUUAGAAAAGCCCACUAUUUCCCUUUCUCUAUAGCAUAGCUUUGUGGUGGACUAUUGUCAUGCACAGCCUUCUGUGUGAGGACGUCUUAACUCAACUCCUAAGAAGUCCUGGGCUUAAAUCCUUCUUCUUCAAGCUACUAGCAGUGUCACUGAGAAGUCCUAUAGGCUUCAGUUUCUUUACCUGUAAAAUUGGGAAAACAACUGUACUUAACGCAUAGGUUGUUGUGAGAUAUCAGAUAAGCAUAAUGCAUGGAACAGUGAAUGUUCAACAGCUGAUGUUAUUUCUUUAAUAUGAACAAUCUUAUAACCAUCAAUAUAGUCUUUACCUACCUGUUAUUAAUACUUUGCUUAAUGGCUUAGCAUUGUACUGAUGGAAAGCUCGCUCUGCCUAAACAAGCGUCAAAUUUAUUCUGGGCAUGAUGGGGACUUUCACCUGAUUUUGUUGGUUUACAAAGAUAAAGAAAUUUAGUGCCUAUUUGUGAUAAUGUAAAAAUUACUAUGUAUCAGAGAAAAAGGCAUAUCAAAGAAACCUAUUUUUUAGAAAUGCAUAGAAACCAAUCAAUGUGACCUUGAGACUUUAGCAAGAUGAAGUUUGAGACAUCAUGUGGUCAUGAAGAUGGAGGAUGCAGUGAGGCAGGGCAGGCUAGGGUGGUGAAUAUACCUCUGGGACUCUUCUUGGCCUAACUUGAUCCUGCUCUAAUUGAAAACAGGAGCAUAAUCAAGAAAAUGGCUCUUGUGAUUUAAAAAAAUAAUGACUUUUACUAUGUAUAUAUUAAUAUACAUAUAUGACCAUAUAUUUACAUAAAUAUUAAAUAUUUAUAAAAUAUUAAAUAUAUAUACAACUUGAUUAAUUAUUAUAAUGGAAAAACUCAUGAAACCACUAUCCGGACAAAGAAAUAGAACAAUGCCAGCACUCCAGAAACUGUUCAUGUGUCCUCCUCAACAACAAUUCCUUUUCCUGCCUUAAAUACUGUUGUGACAUCUAUAGUAAUUACUUCUUUAAUAGUUUUUCAUAAAGAAAGUUAUGUGAUAUUUGUUAAUUCUAAACUUUAAAAAAGUAUUAUGUAGUGUGAUCCUGAUUUGUGCAUAAUAGCAGAAGUGUGCUAAAUUGUGGGUGUCAAUUUUAAUUUGUGGAUGUCUUUACCUACCUUGGUUUUGCUUAAUGCUAUGUUAACUUAAUAGAGAAUGUUUUUCUAUGCUGGGACCAGAUUUAUUUAUAUUAGUUUUGUUUAACUAUGAUUUGAGGUCAUUUGUGAUCUCUCACUCUUCUACUACUCCCAAUUGAAUGGAAGCUGAUUUUGUGACUUCUGAGUACUUACCAGGUACCAUACUGUAGUUGGCAUUCUGAUAAAUAUUCUUGCAUAGUAUAUUAUUUUAAAUUCCUUUACUUUCAACCGUUCUGUAUUUUGUAUAUGUUGGAAACAGAAUAUUGCUAUUUUUAGUAGUAUUUUAAAAUAUUUCUCUUAAUAAUUUUUCUAUUUUAAUUAGAAGAUUUUGUACAUUUAUGUUUAAUGUAAUUGACACUAUCCUUAGGUUUAAAACCACCAUUUUAAUAUUUAGUUUAUUCUUGUCUCACUUUGUUUAUGUUUUUUUUUUCUCUUUUUUUUCUUUUCAGAAACGAGGUGUCACUGUGUUGCCCCUGGUGGUCUUGAACUCCUGGGCACAAGUGAUUCACCUGCCUCAGCUUCCCAGAGUGUUGGGAUUACAUACAGGUGGGAGCUACUGUGCCCAGCCUGUUCAUGUUCUUUUUCCUCUUCUUUCUUCUCUUUAUUAUCUAUUCCGUUAUUAGCUUGAUGGCUAUACACUCUUUUACUAUUCUUUUAUUUGGUGAUUAAUCUAGAAAUUAAAACGUAGCCUUAAUUUAUUCCGAUUCUAUUUAAACAAUAUUUAAAAAUAUUUAUUAUUUAGUGCAGUCUGCUUAUAGUGAUUUUUCUUUUUUGGUUUGUCUGAAAAUGUCUUUUUUUCAUUUUUAAAGUACAUGUUGCUGGUUAUAGGUUGACAGCUAUUUUAUUUCAGUAUUUGAAUGAUAUUCUGUUGCCUUGUAGAUUCCAUUGUUGCAGUUGCUAUUUCAAAGGCAAUUUGUCUUUUUAUUUCUCUGGCUGAGUUUAAGAUUUUCUCUUUGUCUUUGAGUUUCAGUGGUUUUAUUGUUGUGUACCUUUAGGGUUGUCCUUUUUAUUUUUUUCUUGGAAUUUUUUAGAGUUUCUUCAAUCUUUAUGUCUUUCAUCAAUUUUGGAAAUUCUCAAUCAUUUUAUCUUUAAAUAUUGCUUCUACUCUAUUUUCUCUCUUCUCUCUAGGACUUCCGUAACAACAAUUGGAGCUUCUCAUGGUAUCGUCUAUGUCUCUUAUUUACUCA